GCUGGGUGUGGCGGCGCACGCCUGUAAUUCCAGCUACUCGGGAGGCUGAGGCAGGAGAAUCGCUUGAGCCCAGGAAGCAGAGGUUGUAGUGAACCGAGAUUGUCCCACUGCACUCCAGCCUGGGCAACAGAGCGAGACUCUGUCUCAA
ensembl:misc_RNA Metazoa_SRP Metazoan signal recognition particle RNA